CCUACGGGCGGCAGCAGUGAGGAAUAUUGGUCAAUGGCCGGAAGGCUGAACCAGCCAAGCCGCGUGAAGGACGACGGUGCCAAGCAUUGUAAACUUCUUUUGUCAAGGGACAAAAUCAGGCUCGAGAGCCUGACCGAGGGUACUUGAAGAAAAAGCAUCGGCUAACUCCGUGCCAGCAGCCGCGGUAAUACGGAGGAUGCGAGCGUUAUCCGGAUUUAUUGGGUUUAAAGGGUGCGUAGGCGGACUGUUAAGUCAGCGGUAAAAGCCCGGGGCUCAACCUCGGCGAGCCGCUGAAACUGGGUGGCUUGAGAUGUCGAGAGGUAUGCGGAAUGCGUGGUGUAGCGGUGAAAUGCUUAGAUAUUGCGCAGAACUCCGAUUGCGAAGGCAGCAUACCGUCGGCGUUCUGACGCUGAGGCUCGAAAGUGUGGGUAUCGAACAGGAUUAGAUACCCGUGUAGUC
rnacentral:rRNA from 1 species